AUGCUGUCGGUACUAGAAAAACUUACAAAGGUGGAAGAACAAUCUGCCCGGAUACUGAAAGUAGUUGAAAAGACUGCUUCAAGGGUGGUGGUGCUGAAUAAUGUAACUGAAGAAGUGCCAGCAGCACUCAGCUCAAUUUUGGAAAAAUUUUCGGAGCUCCAAAUGUGCGAAGAUUUGAAGCAACGCGAAGAUGUUUUCCACAAACUACCGAUUGCUGAUGUCGGCGGAAUGAAGGAUUUUGUACUCAGAUUAUCAAAUGGGAAUUUUUAUCAAAGUUGUGUGAAAUAUUUAAGUACCAAAGGAAGCACGAAAUCUGUCUCACUUUGUGUCAAGAAGAUGAUGCGGGUGCUAUUAACUGAUGAGUUAGCGCUUGAGUAUUGUAUGACCGGGCACAAGGGUCAAAAUCAGGGCAAAAAACCCUUCAUUCAGUACAAACUUCUCUGUGAAGCGAUUGAAGCCGCUACUAGAAGUAUUCAUCCAAAAGCAACUGAUGAGGAAGUUUUAAAGUUUGCAUCGGAAUGGUUGACCAAAGCCAAAGAGCGAUUGACUUCCAAAGACAAACGAAAUGCUGAUUUCGAACCAGAUGCAUCAUCAGAAGAACUGCAAAAUGAAGAAAAUUUCAUGGAUGAUAAUGAAAAUUUCGAAUUAGAUGAAUCAACAGAUGUACUGCAAAAUGCACAAAAUGUACUGAAUGACUCAUAUUUAGAAGCAGAUGACCUCCAAUAUGCUCCAAAUUCUAUUGCUGAUGAUGAAUUUUCCCAGAAUUCCCAAUCCUUAAUGGAUGAUGAUGCAACCUACUUUAAUGAUUCUUAAAUAAUGUUGACCGCUCAAGUCACUGAGUUAUUUAAGUCUCACAGCUACUUCAAAGCCUAGUCUGCGAUAGCUGCCUCAAAACUAGCAUUUAUUAAGCGAAUUACUUCAUAGUAUCAAUCGCUUAGAUACUUAGCUCAAUCGUUGUGUUUCAAAGAUACAGUUAUUUUUUUUUUCAUUUAUGAAUAUUAACCCUUUAAAACUACUCAGUUACCUACUAGUGCUAAUUAAUUAUUGUUAUUUAUCAUUGCAUAACUGCAAGUUAUUCAAUUAUAGGUGCGUACUUACAUAAGUCACGCCCAUUUUUCUUCACGUUAUUUUUCUUUUUGCGUCUUUAGUACUGAUUUUUCUCGCACUGAACUUAUAGAGGUAGAUUUAGGAUCUUUGCUCUCAUUGGGAGAAGAAUAUUUUGUAAUGAUCUCCUUUUUCCCGGUUCUCUCUGAGCCUUAAAUUUAUUUUUCCUAUUCACACUUUUGUUUUUUUCCUCAAUUUCGUUUCGAUUCUGCAAUAAGUUGUUCUAU
rnacentral:lncRNA from 1 species